UACGUAGGGUGCAAGCGUUAAUCGGAAUUACUGGGCGUAAAGCGUGCGCAGGCGGUUUGUUAAGCCAGAUGUGAAAGCCCCGGGCUCAACCUGGGAACUGCGUUUGGUACUGGCAAGCUAGAGUACGGCAGAGGGGGGUGGAAUUCCACGUGUAGCAGUGAAAUGCGUAGAGAUGUGGAGGAACACCGAUGGCGAAGGCAGCCCCCUGGGCCGAUACUGACGCUCAUGCACGAAAGCGUGGGGAGCAAACAGG
rnacentral:rRNA from 1 species